GAUGAACGCUAGCGGCAGGCCUAACACAUGCAAGUCGAGGGGCAGCAUAAAAUAAACUUGUUUAUUUGGUGGCGACCGGCGCACGGGUGCGUAACGCGUAUGCAACCUACCUUAUACUGGGGAAUAGCCCGAAGAAAUUCGGAUUAACGCCCCAUAGUACUGAGACCUCUCCUGAGGAUUCAGUUAAAGCUUUGGCGGUAUAAGAUGGGCAUGCGUCCAAUUAGCUAGAUGGUGAGGUAACGGCUCACCAUGGCGACGAUUGGUAGGGGGCCUGAGAGGGUGGUCCCCCACACUGGUACUGAGACACGGACCAGACUCCUACGGGAGGCAGCAGUGAGGAAUAUUGGUCAAUGGGCGCAAGCCUGAACCAGCCAUGCCGCGUGAAGGAUGAAGGUUCUAUGGAUUGUAAACUUCUUUUAUUUGGGAAUAAACCUCUUUACGUGUAGAGAGCUGAAGGUACCAAAUGAAUAAGCACCAGCUAACUCCGUGCCAGCAGCCGCAGUAACAC
rnacentral:rRNA from 1 species